rnacentral:rRNA from 1 species
GCUAAACGCGAAGAACCUUACCAGCUUUUGACAUGUCCGGUAUGAUUUCCAGAGAUGGAUUUCUUCAGUUCGGCUGGCCGGAACACAGGUGCUGCAUGGCUGUCGUCAGCUCGUGUCGUGAGAUGUUGGGUUAAGUCCCGCAACGAGCGCAACCCUCGCCCUUAGUUGCCAUCAUUUAGUUGGGCACUCUAAGGGGACUGCCGGUGAUAAGCCGCGAGGAAGGUGGGGAUGACGUCAAGUCCUCAUGGCCCUUACAGGCUGGGCUACACACGUGCUACAAUGGCGGUGACAAUGGGAGGCAAAGGGCGACCCCGCGCAAAUCUCAAAAAGCCGUCUCAGUUCGGAUUGCACUCUGCAACUCGAGUGCAUGAAGUUGGAAUCGCUAGUAAUCGUGGAUCAGCAUGCCACGGUGAAUACGUUCCCGGGUCUUGUACACACCG